rnacentral:lncRNA from 1 species
ACUAACAUGUAAAUAUUGGACUCCACGUUGUCGCAACAAAAAAGCAAUGUUAUUAUGCAUAUCAAGAGACACGGUAGUGGCUCGCGCCAAGUGAAAGCGCAGCGCGAGCCCGACCGUGCUCUUUACGCGAGUACGCGACUUGCGAGCACUCGAGAUUAUUGAAUCUCAGAAACGGUUAAAUCGAUCGAGUUUCUAAGUAAGCUCAAUCGAAAGCUUGGGGUCGAUUUAUAUUAGAAAACUAUUUUUAUUUUUUCUCUACAUGUCCUAUGAAUGGAGAUAUCGCGACGCAAAGUCCAAAAAGCCAAAAUUUCAUUUAAGAUACGUCGUCGUCAUCGUCAACCUUGUUGGUAUCUCUGCGGGUAGUGCGGGUGCCGAAAAUGAGGGACGAAAAUCCAUUUCGCUCAUCUACUACCGUGUGGCGUUCGCAUCGUCACUAUAGCACCGUAUAUGGCAAUGUAUAAGUCACGUGGUCACCAGUGGCUCGCUCGCGCCGUGAAUUAGUUGUGUGAAGAUGAUAGGUUAUAUAUGAGGUCACAUAAGUUGCUUCGGCCACAGGUCAGCUCCUGUCAAGUGACAUGUGUAGUGGAGGUUAAAUUAUUUAUUUAAUGAUUUUAAUCAUUGACACCAAUAUAAAUUAAUUAAUUUCAGAGAGUAACAUAGCUCAGAUUUAUCGAUGAGGUAGAUGAGAUGUUGCGUGAUGUAAAAUGUGUAAUUAUUGUUGUAAUUUCAAUGAUAAUGUUGUAAGGAUAAUAAAGUAAAGAAUAAAAAUAGUAUAUUGAUUGAUUGACAAUUACAGCAACAUUUAUCCAAUACACAAUUCUUCUACAUCAUACAAUAUUUCAUCUCUCAUCGACACUAAUAUAAAAUUACAGAGCUAUUUUAUUUUUAAUUUUAACCGGUCACAUAAGUUGCUCUGGCCACAGGUCAGCUCCUGUUAAGUGACAUGUGUAGUGGAGGUUAAAUCAUUUAUUUAAUGAUUUUUAACAUCUCAUCUAUUUAAUCAUCGUUCAUUAAGAUUUUCCACUUGUGUCGAUGAAAUAAAUGAGAUUGACACAAAUGUAAAAUUAAAUAAUCAGAGAAUAACAUAGCUCAGAUUUUAUACUGGUGUUGAUGAGGUAGAUGAGAUGUUGCAUGAUGUAGAAAAUGUGUAUUAUUGCUGUAAUUGUCAAUCAUGUUAUAAGGAUAAGAACUAUCAUCAUCACCAAGGUAUUACUUUUGUCACCAAGAUACAAUUAUAUGUUACUAGUAAAGAAUAAAAUAGUAUUGUUAAAACCAUUUAUUUGAUUUGAAAUUUUGUUAGAUAAUUAAUAUUGAUUGACAAUUACAGCAACAUUUAACCAAUACACAAAUCUUCUACAUCAUACAUCUCAUUUCUCAUCGAUACUAAUGUAAAAUCAGAGAGCUAUUUUAUUUUAAUAAUCGGUUACGUAGGUUGCCCGGGCCACGGGUCAGCCCGUGUCAAGUGACAUAUGUAGUAUUGGUUAAAUCAUUUAUUUAAUGAUUUUUCAGGAAAUAUAUUAUUUAAAUUAAAUUAGUGACCAAACAUAAUUACCUUUUUAAAUAAAAAUGUAAAAAGGGCUCCAAGUGUGUGGGCUUCUUUAAGGGAAGACAGAAAUUCAAGAUAAUCGUUUUCAUCAAAUUCAACUUAGGCAUGGUUCCAAAACAUGCUCUAAAGAAAAAUUUUAUUUAAAAAUUUAUAGUAUUAUAUCCGUUAUAUAAACUUUAACUUCUUAGUAAAAUUUUUCUCAAAGAGAAAGUUUUAGAGUGUAACCUUAAGUGGUCUAUAAAACUAAGUAGUUUAUAAAAAAA